rnacentral:rRNA from 1 species
UACGGGGGGGGCAAGCGUUGUUCGGAAUUACGGGGCGUAAAGGGUUCGUAGGUGGCUCGCUAAGUCAGACGUGAAAUCCCUCAGCUUAACUGGGGAACUGCGUCUGAGACUGGCAAGCUUGAGUGCAGGAGAGGAACGCGGAAUUCCAGGUGUAGCGGUGAAAUGCGUAGAUAUCUGGAGGAACACCGGUGGCGAAGGCGGCGUUCUGGGCUGCAACUGACACUGAUGAACGAAAGCCAGGGGAGCAAACGGG